AAGUCGUAACAAGGUUUCCGUAGGUGAACCUGCGGAAGGAUCAUUACAAACAAGAUGGUAGGGGAGUGGGGAUGGAAAGGGGUGGGAGUAAAGGCAAUGGGAGAGGUCAUGUUCUUUCGGGAUCAAGACAUGGAUCCAGUUUGAUUUAAUUCCGCUCGGUUCGACUGGAAUUCCGCUCGGUUCGACUGGAAUUCCGCUCCAUUCCCCAAAUACAUUUACGCUUUCGUGUUUGUCAGUCAAAGGUGAAUCAAGUAAUAUACAACUUUUAACAAUGGAUCUCUUGGCUCUU
rnacentral:misc_RNA from 1 species